CACUCUGGAAAGUGAGGUGAAAACCUCCGCCGACGGGGUAAGCCCAUUUCUUGGGUCAAAUCUCUCAGGUACCGAUGACAGAGGGGG
rnacentral:ncRNA from 1 species